GCCACAUGAGGAGGAGAGAAAAGGUAUUUAUAAAAAGUAAUAAUACAAAAUAAAGAUGCAGUGUCUGUGUAAACUGCUUAUAAUUCAUGGACAUUAUACAUUUACACAUGACUUUUUACAUCUGUUGUUUUUGUGGUAUUUGCACAGGUCAGGUUAAAUUGUAAUAACUCAUUGUACUUUGCCAUCCUACUCUGUUUGAAUGUGUACAUUUACUGACAUUGCAGAUGGGUUCUAUGUAGAGAGCCUUCUCAAAGUUGCAAGCUCCAAGAAAGUUAAAAGGUACAUACAGAGUGCUUAUUCAUCAACUUGUUGCAUGAGUAAUAAAGAUAAAUUUGUUUAUGGAACAGAUACAUUUUCCGGAUAAUCAUCAUACAGGAAAUGCAGACAAAAAAAGUGUCUUAAAACUUGGUACCACAUUCCGCAACUCAGAUAAUUUUGGGAUGAUUGUACUGAUUUUAUUGUACAGGCACUUUGUAACAGUUGCAGAGCUACAGAGGAGAUGCUCAGCCCCAGAAAACUACUCUGCCAACCUCAUGGUCACAUACUUGAGGAAGGCAAAACAUAAGAAAAAGGAGUUAGAAGGGCAGUUGAGACAGGCAGGAGUGCAACCUUCUAAAUAUGCAGCAAACACUACUAUGUGCUCCCGGCUGGUGGAAGAUGAGUGCAAAAGUCUGGCAGAGGACCUUGGACAGCUCACAAAGCACAUCCCCUUUGAAAGCAUUGGGAAAAGACUGGCUGAGGGCAACAAAAACAUACCAUCUGCUAUUGUAAAAGUUGAAGAAUUGAGGUAAAUUUCUUAUACUUCUAGUUUCCUUUGUCUUCCCUACGUUACACACACAUGCGGCAAAAA
rnacentral:lncRNA from 1 species